GGUGUCAGCAUUCCCAAGGUUAAGUGUCAGCAUUCCCAAGGGCAUCAACAUCCCCCUGUACGUCAUCUCCGUCACCAAGAACAGACUCAUUAGCAUUAAAAACAGCAUUAGAAUGUUGAAGAAUAGGAUCAAGGUGCAUUUGAUCCCCAUAACCACCGAUCUCACCAAUGCGCAACAAACCUCCCCCAAGAUCUUGCAGCAAGAUAUCAUCAUCCACAACAUGACAGUCUACAAUUCCAACUCCCGCACGCCCCACCACCAUAGUUGCCUUCCCUUC
rnacentral:misc_RNA from 1 species